AAUGAACGCUGGCGGCGCGCCUAAUACAUGCAAGUCGAGCGAGAAGACGUAGCAAUACGUUUGUAAAGCGGCGAACGGGUGAGGAAUACAUGGGUAACCUACCCUCGAGUGGGGAAGUAACUAGCCGAAAGGUUAGCUAAUACCGCGUACGCUUCUUGGACUUCGGUUCAGGGAGGGAAAGACGAUACCGUGGGUAGUCGCGCUCUUGGAUGGGCGUCAUGUCCUAUCAGCUUGUUGGUGAGGUAACGGCUCACCAAGGCUUCGACGGGUAGCUGGUCUGAGAGGACGAUCAGCCACACUGGCACUGCGACACGGGCCAGACUCCUACGGGAGGCAGCAGUAAGGAAUAUUGCGCAAUGGGCGAAAGCCUGACGCAGCGACGCCGC
rnacentral:rRNA from 1 species